ensembl:lncRNA TMEM277P transmembrane protein 277, pseudogene
ACCCUGUACCUUUGCUCCUAAGCAUGAAGAUGGGCUUCUGACCAAGUCCUGCUAGAGGACACUGAAAGGGCAAGCCUUGGGCUUUAACCAGGCAAUGGAAAAUUUAAAUUGGGCUCCAGAGAAGAGACAUUGAGACUGAUACUUCCAGCACUGAGGAUCUACCUCUAGAAGUCUAGCUCAGAACUUGGCCUCCGGCCUGGGCACUGCCUCAUACCUGCCAGAAUUGAUCUCAAUGGAGCUGCACAAUGAGAGGUUUUGCAUGUUGUCUAGAGGACUUUGGUUGAGUUCAGAGCUGAGCACACUUGCCUUCAGACUCUCCUGGGACUCCCAGUUCUCAUCCAUAUGAGCAAGGGCUUCAUGUUACUGGCCGUGGCCCUGUGCUGAGUCCUCCUCCCGCCCAUGGCCCUCUCCUCCUGGCCAGUGGUCCUCCGCCUGAACAUGGCCGACUUUGUCUUCAGUUUCCUCUGCCUCGGCAUUGGGCUCCUGAUUUCUCUUCAGCCUGACGCUCUUUUCAGUUAACGGCAAGGCGGUGCACCCAAGUCCGGUGGUGUCCUACCUGGUGACCUCCUACCUGUGCUGGGACGCCAGCGACUUGAUGCUGCACUCCGGGCGCAGCGAGGCGGACAUCCAAACAGCGGAACUCAGACGCUGACUCCGAGCGCACCCCGGGCCUUCCCAUUUCAUACACCCUCGAGGAUGAGACCCAAGCACCUCCAAGGAAUAGCACCCGAGGUCUUCAGGACACCGACCGGUAGCCAUGGCCAGAUGCCCGGCCAACCCCUUCAGCGUGGCCACGCCCUGGAUAUUCGACCUCCCCUGAGGCCCCACCCCCUGAUAUCAGGCCACGCCCUCCGAGGGGACCGGUGGCAAACUCCAGCCCUCGCUCUAGGGCCCGCCCUUUGCGGCUUUGUCCCUGCCCACUGGGUCCUCACAGUACCUCCACCCCAGAGGCCCAGCAUCCCCUCCCGUUCUGCAGACACUUGUCCAGCGUCCCGCUGAGCUCGGCAGUGUGGCUAGUUUGUGUGGCCCUGCCCCUGGUGCCCAGCC